GUUUUAAUAGUUUAAAAAAAACAAUGAUUUUGUAAAUCAUAAUUAGAAUAAAUCUUUAAAACU
rnacentral:tRNA from 1 species